CCUUCGAUAGCUCAGUUGGAAGAGCGUGGGACUGUAAUUGGCUAAAAGCUUCACGGCAUACAAACAUCCCAAGGUCACUGGUUCGACCCCGGUUCGAAGGA
rnacentral:tRNA from 1 species